GUCACUUCCGCCGAGUCCCUGACCUGCUGCUAGGAUCGCGACGGGAACUGGAGCCUGAGGUGUCCGCGCGGCCCGGGCCUGGCGCCCUGAGGGGAAGAGCGGCCCGGCCCGAGGGUGCUGGGGUGGAGAGUUUUACUCCAAUACCUUUCCUAGCCAUGACGGACGGGAUCCUAGGGAAGGCAGCCACAAUGGAGAUCCCUAUCCACGGGAAUGGCGAAGCCAGGCAGCUUCCUGAAGAUGAUGGGCUGGAGCAGGUGCUUCUGUUUGAUUCUUCUAAUUGUUUCAAUUUAGGAAUCCAAUUUAUAAAUCCUGGGUUCUCACCCUCCAUUCCAGUAGCCUUCCCCUGACUUAUCUGACUCCCUUCAUUCUUUUUACAUAUCAUUUUGAUUCUGUGCAGACUUCCCUUGUGUACUGCCUUUAUGAUGCUUGAAUCCAAACUUGUUCCCACCUCCAAAAUGCUUCUGCAGCCCCUAUGUUCCUGAAGCAACUCCUCUUCUCUGGCCUAUAGGACCUCCAGCAGGUGAUGGUGUCAGGACCCAACCUCAAUGAAACCAGCAUUGUGUCUGGUGGCUAUGGGGGCUCUGGUGAUGGACUCAUCCCCACAGGUAUGAAUGUUCAGAAACAGGAAUCUUGGGUGGAGGAGGGACAGGAAUGGUUUGGGGAAGCAUAGGAUGUGUCUAGGAAAGCUUGAAUUAUGUCUGGAGAUCUUGGGAACUUCUGCUUGUAGGAACCCCAUGGACUCUCCUCAGCCCAAAAGCAACUCCCAGCAUUGUCCAUCCAUUUUCCUUUUGCCACUUAGCCCCUUAAAUGGCUCAUUUGUCCUUUCCCUGCCACCACCUGAGUCAAGUUAAGACCUACUUCACAGGAAUGCCCCCGCUCUACAGCUUGAGGCUGAGUUGGAACUUUGUGAGGCUUCUCA
rnacentral:sRNA from 1 species